GUGAUGGCAGUGAGGGUUUCCUAAGGACAGACUCAGUACCUUGAAUGUGUCAAUGCCACUUUAAUCCUUACUGCAGGAGAAAGUUCUGUUCCCCCAUUCUACAGAUGAGGAAGCUAAGUCACAGAGAGCCUUGGUGACCCACCCUGGGUCCCACAGCCCAUAAAGGGUAGCCCAGGAAGUUGAAGCCAGGUGGGCCGGCUGCAGAAAACCUGCAGGAACCUGAGUGCAAGGUGGCUUUACUGGGGCUGAGGCCUCCAGCAGGGAAAGCAGCCUCCUGAGUCGAUCUGGGUGGCCUGACCCUGCCCGAGGUCUGGGCAGGGGUCCUGGGGCAGCCUUUGAAACCCUCUCCAACGGACACACACCCGCUGGGAGCCCCUGGACGAACUCCUGCCCCCAGGAAACCGAAACUCCCUGUGGACACCAGGACCCUCCUCCCAGAGGAAGAACAGCUGAGCUGCUCCCUGACAGAAAAAGACAGUUCCAGAACUCGGGAAGGUGAGGACAAGAAUUUCAAGCCAGAGGGGAGAUAUGAAGGAAGGCUCAGAAGCCCAGAGGUGGAAAUUGCAGACCAGGGCUGAGCUGGGGGGGACUUCGGG
rnacentral:lncRNA from 1 species